UGAGGGAUAUUGGGCAAUGGGGGAAACCCUGACCCAGCGACGCCGCGUGAGGGAAGACGGUCUUCGGAUUGUAAACCUCUGUCUUUGGGGACGAAGAAGGACGGUACCCAAGGAGGAAGCUCCGGCUAACUACGUGCCAGCAGCCGCGGUAAUACGUAGGGAGCGAGCGUUGUCCGGAAUUACUGGGUGUAAAGGGAGCGUAGGCGGGAUUGCAAGUUGGAUGUGAAAACUGCGGGCUCAACCCGGAGAGUGCAUUCAAAACUGCGAUUCUUGAGUGAAGUAGAGGCAAGCGGAAUUCCUAGUGUAGCGGUGAAAUGCGUAGAUAUUAGGAGGAACACCAGUGGCGAAGGCGGCUUGCUGGGCUUUUACUGACGCUGAGGCUCGAAAGUGUGGGGAGCAAACAGGAUAGAUACC
rnacentral:rRNA from 1 species